rnacentral:lncRNA from 1 species
AGAAGCGCGUAGCAGGCUACCAUGACGCCCAGCGGCAGCGCGAAGCCCAGGGCCACCUGCGCCACGGCGCUCGCCCCCUUCACCGUCUGCGUGAGGCCCUCGGGGAAGAUGAGGCGACAGCGUCGUUGGCCUUCCCGCUGCCCAUCCUGGCUGAAGAGCAGCGCAGGCAGCGCCAGGAGCAGUGACAGCAGCCACACGAUGACGGAGACCAAGUGUGCGCGGCCGGGAGUGGAGGGCCGCGGCCCGGCUGGGAGCGCUCGCGCGAUGGCCACGUAGCGGUCGGCGCUGAUACAGGCCAGGAAGAGGAAGCCGGCGUGGAAGGAGGCCGAGUAGAGGCCAGAGAUGGUGCGGCAGGUGGCACUUCCCAGACUCCAGCCCUGAAGAGCCCCUGCUGCCGCGAAGGGCAGAGUCAGGGCCAGCAAGAGGUCGGCCAGGGCCAGCUGGAGCAGGUGGGCAGAGGUGGGCGAGCGCGCUGCGCGUCGGGCUGCCAGGAUCUGGAUUUUACGAAAAAAAAAAAAAGAAGAAGAAAGGAAGGAAAGAGGAAAGAAAGAAAGAAAGAAAGAAAAAAAGGAAGGAAAGAAAGAAAAAAGAAUGAACGAAAGAAAGAAAAAAUAAUUUACUGUCUUUGUCAGUGAAGAAAGAACGGGCUUCGGAAUAUAAUCAUUUGCUGUGUGAUAUUGACUAAGUUUCUUGACCUCUCUGAGCCUGAGGUUUUUCAUCUGCAAAGUGGAGUAGGGCAAAAAUGCUAAAUUCACAGUGCCCAGCACCACUCCUAGAGCAUAAUUUGCCU